GACUUUAAAUGUAUACACGAAAUAAAGGGCGGGGCCUGUUCACAGACACACCCUCAUACCUGCUGGCUACAAAAACCGUCACAGAUGCAUUCAAUCGAGGUCAAUUCACAUGUGUCAAAGUCGGAUACGGCCCUCCAGCCGGGAAACACAGGGUGAGAAGCAGAUUGUACGAAACUUGCUAACCACACCGGAGUCUGAGGGAGCACUGCAGGAGCCCCCAAUUCCAAAGAGCAGGGGGGCAUGUGAAUGUGAAGAGUACAAGCCCCAGCCGAGCCAGAGAACAGUCUCCCUGCACUGAAGGACACACCACCGCGCAAGAGUCCUGAGUAUCCCUCCCGACCCCAGAUAUGAACCAGGCCACUUUCAGAAAUCCCACAAAAAGCUCCAGGCAACCGCCAACUCACCCAGGAGGAGGGCAGCAUUAGGAGCUGAGGGUCCCUGACAAGAAUGGUACAGAUGGACCGACCAGACUCCCUUGGUGUUGGAAAGGACAAGGACAAGAGGCUGAGAACUAGACUGAGCACCACAGGGACACAGGUACCCAGAGGCUCAGAUAUGAUUUGAUCCAUAGUUCAUGACACAGCAGGAUGUCUCAGGACCCCACAGGAGAUGCUCAGCCCUCUCUGCAAACAUCUUCCUGAGAAGAUGAGUGGUGAAACUCUUGAAGAAAUAAACCUUUACAUCCAGAUGGAUUUCAAAACAACAUCACACAGGGGAAUAAGAACCUUUAUCAACAUCUACAUGUGAAAGUAGUAAUAAUAAACUUCAUGAAACUUG